ACUGACGUAGUUUGAUCAGUGGCUCAGGACGACGCUGGCGGCGUGCUUAACACAUGCAAGUCGAACGGAUCGCCUGGAUUUCGGUUGGGUGGUGAGUGGCGAACGGGUGAGUAACACGUGAGUAACCUGCCCCGGACUUUGGGAUAACGACUCGAAAGGGUUGCUAAUACCGGAUAUUGAAUUGCUGCCGCAUGGUGGUGGUUUGAAAGAUUUUUUGGUUCGGGAUGGGCUCGCGGCCUAUCAGCUUGUUGGUGGGGUGAUGGCCUACCAAGGCGUCGACGGGUAGCCGGCCUGAGAGGGCGACCGGCCACACUGGGACUGAGAUACGGCCCAGACUCCUACGGGAGGCAGCAGUGGGGAAUAUUGCACAAUGGGCGGAAGCCUGAUGCAGCAACGCCGCGUGCGGGAUGAAGGCCUUCGGGUUGUAAACCGCUUUCAGCUAUGACGAAUGUGACGGUAGUAGCAGAAGAAGCACCGGCUAACUACGUG
rnacentral:rRNA from 1 species